rnacentral:tRNA from 6 species
GCGGAUGUAGCUCAGUUGGUAGAGCCCCGGAUUGUGAUUCCGGUUGUCGCGGGUUCAAACCCCGUCAUUCGCCCCA